UGGGUCAUUAUACUGCUGCAA
rnacentral:piRNA from 1 species